GCCGGAGUGGUGGAACUGGUAUACACGCACGACUCAAAAUCGUGUUCCGCAAGGAUUGUGGGUUCGAGUCCCACCUCCGGCACAA
rnacentral:tRNA from 1 species